GACGAACGCUGGCGGCGUGCUUAACACAUGCAAGUCGAACGAAGUGGCGAACGGGUGAGUAACGCGUAAUCAACCUGCCCUUCAGAGGGGGACAACAGUUGGAAACGACUGCUAAUACCGCAUAGUGAAGGAGGAGUUUGCGUCGUAUUAGCUAGGUGGAGGGGUAACGGCCCACAAAGGAGAUGGUCAGUUGCCUGUCUGAGAGGAGGAACGGCCACAUUGGGACUGAGACACGGCCCAGACUCCUACGGGAGGCAGCAGUGGGGAAUCUUCCGCAAUGGACGAAAGUCUGACGGAGCAACGCCGCGUGAGUGAUGACGGCCUUCGGGUUGUAAAGCUCUGUUAAUCGGGACGCGGUACCGGAAUAGAAAGCCACGGCUAACUACGUGCCAGCCGCCGCGGUAAUAC
rnacentral:rRNA from 1 species